GACGAACGCUGGCGGCGUGCUUAACACAUGCAAGUCGAACGGAAAGGCCCUGCUUGCCGGGUACUCGAGUGGCGAACGGGUGAGUAACACGUGGGUGAUCUGCCCUGCACUUCGGGAUAAGCCUGGGAAACUGGGUCUAAUACCGGAUAGGAGCCAUUUUUAGUGUGAUGGUUGGAAAGUUUUUUCGGUGUAGGAUGAGCUCGCGGCCUAUCAGCUUGUUGGUGGGGUAAUGGCCUACCAAGGCGGCGACGGGUAGCCGGCCUGAGAGGGUGGACGGCCACACUGGGACUGAGAGACGGCCCAGACGCCUACGGGAGGCAGCAGUGGGGAAUAUUGCACAAUGGGCGCAAGCCUGAUGCAGCGACGCCGCGUGGGGGAUGACGGCCUUCGGGUUGGAAACUCCGUUCGCUAGGGACGAAGCUUUUUGUGACGGUACCUAGAUAAGAAGCACCGGCUAACUACGUG
rnacentral:rRNA from 1 species